CACCGACCACCCCCACCACUAGUUGGCCUUUAUAGUCAACCCUAGAACCAGUCACUGUUAAUCUCCAAUGGAUGUCUACAAGCACGCCCCGCCAUGCACAACUUUCUCUAUUGCCUUUGAAGUAAUCAAACACAAACAGCUUCACGCAGCCACAUGUUCUAAGUAAAAUCAUUCCAGUAAUUUUUUUUAUAAUUAUUACUAUUCAAUUAUUAAAUAAUGUCAAAGAGUACGUCUCAAAUCAAAGGAGCAAAUUUUAAUACGAAAAUUUUAAAUUUUAUUAAAUUCAUAAUGGAGAUUGAAAAGAAUAAGGAUUCGAUUUGAGUCUUUAGAGAUACAAACAAAUAACAACGACACACUUAAGUAUUAUCUGUACCUCACAAAAAUUAAAUGUCUCAAAUAAAUCCUUUAAAAAAUUUUAUAUUAUAAACUAAGGAACUAUAAAUUAUAUAAUCAAUACUUUCAAAUAUUUUAUUAACUGUAUUCAAUAUCGAAGCAAUAGAAAGAUUAAUUAUUUAUUUCUUACAAUCCCUUUUUUAAGAAAUUAAAUUGUUUCUUGAAAUCUACUGAACUCUUUUGUAUAAGGUGUAUUGAGUGUGAGACAUUGUUUCUUAAAAAAUCUUUUUCAACAUCUCCCACAAAAUAAUCCGAGCUCAAGUUAAAUCCUCUACUAUAGUCUUACACCAAAGUUGGGCAUUCCCUACAAGAUAUAUGCUAGUACAUUCAUCGUUCAUCUUCUUUUCUAGUAAUAUGGACAGUUGAAAAGUAUUAAGUCGUGUCCCAUAAAAAAUCAUCUUGAGGCUUUUGGCACUUGUCGUGCCACUAAAAGGCUUUGGCUCAAGAAUUGUCACUAUUCUGGUGACUUCACCAUCAACAAAUUUCCCUUGCACUAUUAUCUUCACCAAGAAGACACCACCCACUAAGCGAUUAGUUUUCUUCCCUUAGUCAUCGUCUUCGUCUUCGUCUAAAGAAAUGAGAUCAUAAAGGAUGCUUUCAAAUUUUAUACAGGUCAAUUUCUCAUGUUCUUUAACUUUUCUUUUGAAGGGCACCAAUGAACUUCAGCAGGACUUACAAUAUUUCUACCAAGAACAGUGUUUCAUCAGCAGUACACCCAUGAGCAAUUUCCUAUUAACCUGCUUGCAUAAUACCUGAAUUAAAAACCACAAACAAUUAUUUUUAAAAAUCUUAUUCUGAUAUUAAUUGUUAUAGGAUUGAGAUUUGAUCCACAUAAACCAGUCUGUGAUAGAUCUCACAACCGGGCAAAACCUAAAAAGGUGAAAGUUACAAAGUAAUCGUCUUCAAAUGUCCCUCUUCUUCAAGAGGUCUUCAUCGUUUUGAAUCUGCACCAAGGAAUCCAAACUCUCUUUUUGUUCUAUAAUCCGUAAGAUCCACUUCCUUUUUCUGUUGACUUCACUUUUUAUCAUUUGUCACCUUAUUUUUAACUUUUUAUAUCAUUUAGUUAUUUAUUUUCUCCCGGUUAACUUUGAUUAAAAAUGCCAUAAUUAGCUAAAGCUUGGUCAAACAGAGACAACAUAACUUAUUCACAUUUCCAAAACUAUUCCAUCUUCGUCUCUUCUCUACUGGUAAACUGAACAUUCAACAUCAAUGCCGCAAAUAACUCGAGGAUAAAUAACAUUUACAACUAUUUACUAACCUCAACAUCUAAAUCAAACACUAAUAAACAAAACAAUAAUACUCCUAAAUGUGUAAACAAUUUAAUUUUCUUAAAUAGUUUUUGUUUUUCAAGCUUCAUUAAUCACAACCAAUACAGUACUUCUACUCCAAAUCGUUUUCACUAACAGAAACUUCAUCAUGCAAACUAAGAGGGAAGAUAUUAUAUUAAUCAUGGGUAGUAAUCACCUACUUAAAGUAAGCAUAACAGGAUAAUAUCAACAACAUUGCAUCAUCUUCAUUCUAAAUCCCUCAUAUGGAAAAUCACAUAUUUAGAUUGGUAAACAGAAAAGUAAGCUAGGAAGGGAAAACAAUACCUAAUGUGCAUCAUGCCCAACAAAUUUGCUCAAGCUUGAAACUUUCUGGAGUCCUCCCCUCAUGCACGCCACGACUUCCCCUUCAGCCACCAUGCUAAAAAGAGAAAAGGGUCCCCCCGAAAAU
rnacentral:lncRNA from 1 species